rnacentral:tRNA from 1 species
GCCCGGAUGGCGGAACUGGUAGACGCAAGGGACUUAAAAUCCCUCGGUGUUUGACACCGUGCCGGUUCGAUUCCGGCUCCGGGCA